rnacentral:rRNA from 1 species
GUAGGGAAUAUUGGGCAAUGGGCGAAAGCCUGACCCAGCAACGCCGCGUGUGCGAUGAAGGCCUUCGGGUCGUAAAGCACUUUUCUGGGAGAUGAGAAAGGACAGUAUCCCAGGAAUAAGUCUCGGCUAACUACGUGCCAGCAGCCGCGGUAACACGUAGGAGGCAAGCGUUAUCCGGAUUUACUGGGCGUAAAGCGCGUGCAGGCGGUUCGGUAAGUUGGAUGUGAAAGCUCCUGGCUCAACUGGGAGAGGUCGUUCAAUACUACCGGACUUGAGAAUGGUAGAGGAAGGCGGAAUUCCCGGUGUAGUGGUGAAAUGCGUAGAUAUCGGGAGGAACACCAGUGGCGAAGGCGGCCUUCUGGACCAUUUCUGACGCUCAGACGCGAAAGCUAGGGGAGCGAACGGGAUUAGAAACCCUAGUAGUCC